UUUCCGUAGGUGAACCUGCGAAGAUCAUUAAAAAUUGGACUCCAUUGGUGAGUUCAUUAAUAAUCCCUACCCUUUGUGAAUUUGUUUGUUUGAAUAAUUUUUUUUCCAAAAAAAAUUAUUGAAUGUCUUUCCUUGUUUUGGUGGAGCUUGUAAAGUGAAACCAGGCAGGGGAAUGGCAAACAAUAAUUAUUUUGAAAAGACCUUUUUUAAAAUUAAACUUUUUGUAUUCAUUUGUCUAAAAUUAAUUUUUAUAAUAUAAAAACAACUUUUGACAAUGGAUCUCUUGGUUCUCGCAACGAUGAAGAACGCAGCAAAAUGCGAUAAGUAGUGUGAAUUGCAGAAUACGUGAAUCAUCGAAUCUUCGAACGCAUAUUGCACUUUUUUAGUUUACUAAAAAGUAUGUCUGUUGAGUAUCAGUAAAUAUUCUCAUAAAAAACAUUGUUUUUUUUAUGGUUACGAGUGUUUUACAACGAUAACAAGUUGUUUCACUUUAAAUUCUUUGUUAUCAAAAAAAUCAUUAAAAGCUAAUUUUAAAGAUUUUUUAAAAUUGGAUAAAAUUUUCCCGUAAAAAGGAAUAACCUAAACAAUUUUAAAAAUUAAAAUUGGUUUGAUUUUUUCUGAAACCCAAAGGAAAAAAAACGAAAUUAACUUGAUCUCAAAUCAGAUAAGAGUACCCGCUGAACUUAAGCAUAUCAAUAAGCGGAGGAAAGAAACUAACUAGGAUUCCCUCAGUAACGGCGAGUGAAGCGGGAAGAGCUCAAAUUUGAAAUCUUCAAGGUUUUACCUUGACGAAUUGUAGUUUAAAGAAGUGUUUUCUGUUGGAGUUUUGGUAAAAGUUCUUUGGAAAAGGACAUCAUAGAGGGUGAGAAUCCCGUAUUUGACCAUUAUCUCCAGCUUUGUGAUACACUUUCAAAGAGUCGGAUUGUUUGGGAAUGCAGUCCAAAAUGGGUGGUAAAUUUCAUCUAAAGCUAAAUACUGGCGAGAGACCGAUAGCGAACAAGUACCGUGAGGGAAAGAUGAAAAGAACUUUGAAAAGAGAGUUAAACAGUACGUGAAAUUGUCAAAAGGGAAGCGUUUGACACCAGUGUUGUUUUCUCGAAAAUCAAUUAAAAAAGGCCGGAUUUUGUGUUGUAUUGACUUUAUCAGCUUUCUGCACUCUUUUCUUGUCUUUUUUAAUGCACCUUUCGUUUAACAAGUCAACAUCAAUUUCUUUUGUUGUAAAAGGGUCAUUGGAAGGUGGCUUUCUUUUCGGAGAAAGUGUUUAUAGCCUUUGGCCUCUGCAAUCGGAGAGAUUGAGGUCUGCAGCGUAGAUCCUUCGGGGUUAGAUACAUUUGUGCUAAGUUAUAGCCUUUCAUAGACAACUUGUUGACUAUGAUCAGUCAUGUAGCUUACUCGCUUAUGCUAUUUACCUACGCUUAGGAUGUUG
rnacentral:misc_RNA from 1 species